AUUUCUAUUUUUUAUAUAUUUAUAUACUUUUCAAUAUUUAUUUAAUUUAAUUCUGGUUCUACCCCAGUUGAACCUUUUAACCAUGACUCUUUGCUUUUAUCAGUUUGCAGAACAGGCCAGGUUUGAAUAUCUUGAUACAAUGAAUGUUGAAGUUCUAAAUCCUACAUGAUUGAUUUGAUUUUAAAUAUGUUAUCUAAGACAAAUACAAUACCGAUAGCAAACUAAACUCACACAAAAGAAAACUAUAACAGGUCAAUGCUAUAAUAAAAUCCUCAAAAAAUAAAGUUGGAAA
rnacentral:misc_RNA from 1 species